ACCGUUGUGAGGAUCUAAUUAUUUUUCGAAAGAACACAGUUUACAAAGACGUCUGGACACAUUUGUAAAGAAUAUACAAUUAACAAUAUUUUUACACGAAUGACCACACAGUUAAAGAUUUUUCGAUAAUGGGGCUGGAAAAGCUAUACGGGAAUGACCAAUACAGAAAAACAAUAGAAAAUUUGUGGAAAAAUAAAUUAAGAACCUAUAGACCGUAUGGAGUUAAUACAAAAGAAUAACGCGGCAGACGGCAACCAACGCCACGGCGGGCGUCGUUCAUUGACGUUACGUCACUUCCAUUGUUUUGUUUGAUAUAUUUGUAUGUGAAAUAAAUGCUGCUGAAGAAGGCCGCAAGGCCGAAAGCUACGGCAAAUUUAAA